rnacentral:rRNA from 1 species
ACGCGGMCCCAGGUCAGGCGGGAUCACCCGCUGAGUUUAAGCAUAUCAAUAAGCGGA